GACGUAGGGCGCGAGCGUUGUCCGGAUUUAUUGGGCGUAAAGAGCUCGUAGGCGGCUUGUUGCGUCGACUGUGAAAACCCGCGGCUUAACCGCGGGCUUGCAGUUGAUACGGGCAGGCUAGAGUUCGGUAGGGGAGACUGGAAUUCCUGGUGUAGCGGUGAAAUGCGCAGAUAUCAGGAGGAACACCGGUGGCGAAGGCGGUUCUCUGGGCAUUACCUGACGCUGAGGAGCGAAAGUGUGGGGAGCGAACAGG
rnacentral:rRNA from 1 species